GAUGAACGCUGGCGGCGUGCCUAAUACAUGCAAGUCGAGCGAACAGACGAGGAGCUUGCUCCUUUGACGUUAGCGGCGGACGGGUGAGUAACACGUGGGUAACCUACCUAUAAGACUGGGAUAACUUCGGGAAACCGGAGCUAAUACCGGAUAAUAUUUCGAACCGCAUGGUUCGAUAGUGAAAGAUGGCUCUGCUAUCACUUAUAGAUGGACCUGCGCCGUAUUAGCUAGUUGGUAAGGUAACGGCUUACCAAGGCAACGAUACGUAGCCGACGUGAGAGGGUGAUCGGCCACACUGGAACUGAGACACGGUCCAGACUCCUACGGGAGGCAGCAGUAGGGAAUCUUCCGCAAUGGGCGAAAGCCUGACGGAGCAACGCCGCGUGAGUGAUGAAGGUCUUCGGAUCGUAAAACUCUGUUAUUAGGGAAGAACAAACGUGUAAGUAACUGUGCACGUCUUGACGGUACCUAAUCAGAAAGCCACGGCUAACUACGUG
rnacentral:rRNA from 1 species